CACGGGGGGUGCAAGCGUUGUUCGGAAUCACUGGGCGUAAAGGGUUCGUAGGCGGUGUGGCCAGUCGGGAGUGAAAUUUCUGGGCUCAACUCAGAGACUGCUUCCGAAACUGCUGUGCUGGAGUGUGGGAGAGGCGCGUGGAAUUGCAGGUGUAGCGGUGAAAUGCGUAGAUAUCUGCAGGAACACCCGUGGCGAAAGCGGCGCGCUAGACCACUACUGACGCUGAGGAACGAAAGCUAGGGGAGCAAACAGG
rnacentral:rRNA from 1 species